AAAUAUAAAUAUGUCUAGCAAUUGAGGAGUGACACUGACAUCUAGAUGCAGUGAAGCAAAUUACACUUGCCCUUACUGUCGUGAAACCACGCGUGUCUCCAUUUGCCCACAGUUCAGAGGUCGUUCAGAACAGAAGAUGGCAGAGUCAUUGAUUUGUAACAACACGCAAAGCAGGUAGAAAACGUGGGUUUUUACAACUAAAUACUAAUAUAUUCUGUAAAACACUGUUGGCUAGGCCUAUUUUGCUAUAACAUGAACUUAUUUUAUUGUGUUUUUGUUUUUAUUUUUGUUAUAGUUAAAAAAGUAACCUAGUCUUAACAGCCUGUGUGUUCCUGGGCUUAUUACAAUUAUGGAAAUCUGAUGGUGGGGGAUUUUAGUUUGAUUCUUUCUGUAGCUUACACAAGUAUGUGGUGCCAAAAGAAUGCCUUUUUUUUUUAGUGAGUCAUUUGAAUCAUAUUAAACAGAUUCCUUCAAAAACUAUGAUUCAUUUAAGUACCAAACAAGUGACUGCCUUAAUUGGGUUCUGCAAAAGAAAAGGAUCUCAAACAUAUUGUAGACUUCUAUCCAGAGGACAACAACUGUCUACAAAGUUUUCCCAUUCAAGAUCCCCCUUUGGUUCAGAGGCUGAAAAUAGUGUUUGAAAACAGUGCUGACUUUUUUGGAAGAAUAAUUGUUUACACAUUAGAAAUCCUGGGGGAAAGGGUUUUGUAAUGUUUUGAG
rnacentral:lncRNA from 1 species